rnacentral:rRNA from 1 species
ACUCAAAUGAAUUGACGGGGGCCCGCACAAGCAGCGGAGCAUGUGGUUUAAUUCGAAGCAACGCGAAGAACCUUACCUAGACUUGACAUCUCCUGCAUUACUCUUAAUCGAGGAAGUCCCUUCGGGGACAGGAUGACAGGUGGUGCAUGGUUGUCGUCAGCUCGUGUCGUGAGAUGUUGGGUUAAGUCCCGCAACGAGCGCAACCCUUAUUGUUAGUUGCCAUCAUUAAGUUGGGCACUCUAGCGAGACUGCCCGGGUUAACCGGGAGGAAGGUGGGGAUGACGUCAAAUCAUCAUGCCCCUUAUGUCUAGGGCUACACACGUGCUACAAUGGUCGGUACAAUAAGACGCAAGCCCGCGAGGGGGAGCAAAACUGGAAAACCGAUCUCAGUUCGGAUUGUAGGCUGAAACUCGCCUACAUGAAGCUGGAGUUGCUAGUAAUCGCGAAUCAGCAUGUCGCGGUGAAUACGUUCCCGGGCCUUGUACACACCGCCCGU